UCCAUGUUUGUCCUGAAUCUAGAAAGCAUGCAUGUGCCGCUGCUCGCACCCGCGGUCUCCGCAGCCGCCGGCCGUGGGAGCAGCGGACCACAGACGGUGCCUCGCUCGGAGCCAGGACGUGGGUGUAGUGGUGCUCCUCCCACCGUGGUUCCUUUGCUUCCCCUGUUAUCCAAAUGAACAAGCCGAUCUGUUCUUGCACAGCAGCAGAGGAUGGUCUCCAAUCUGAUCUACUUCAAUGUUGAGGAGAACGGCAGCCCUUUAUAUAGCUUUAUAGCUUCAUCACAACAAGAUUACAGGUAUGGAGUUCAGAGUUGGUCAGUGUGUUAUGGAAGUUAAUUCUCUUGGAAAACAUCCAAAAUUUGGAGGAUUGGAUACUGGUGAUAAUCAAGCUGCAUUGCUAAAUCUAGGAUGUAAGACAUUGACCCAAAUUGUUCAAGAUGAUGUGUUCAGAGAAUUUGUGUUUAGCCAGUACAUAAUUGCUUGCCAGACAUGUAAAAAACAGAGUAACUAAGUGAUUUUUUUUUGAAUCAGAACUUGUUAUGUGGUGUUGUGGUUUGAAUU